rnacentral:rRNA from 1 species
AAUGAACGUUGGCGGCGUGGAUUAGGCAUGCAAGUCGUGCGAGAAUCUCCCUUCGGGGAGAGGACAGCGGCGAAAGGGAGAGUAACGCGUGGUUACAUACCCUCGGGACCGGGAUAGUAGCGGGAAACUGCUAGUAAUACCGGAUAAUAUCUUUGGAUCAAAGGUGUGAUUCCGCCCGAGGAAUGGACCGCGUUCUAUUAGCUUGUUGGCGGGGUAAUGGCCCACCAAGGCGACGAUGGAUACCGGGUGUGAGAGCCUGGCCCGGCUCACUGGGACUGAGGCACUGCCCAGACCCCUACGGGUGGCUGCAGUCGAGAAUCUUCGGCAGUGGGGGCAACCCUGACCGGGCGACGCCGCGUGCGGGAUGAAGGCCCUCGGGUUGUAAACCGCUGUCAGUUGGGAGGAAGUGCCAGGGGGUUCUCCCCUUGGUUUGACCGAUCUUCAGAGGAAGGACGGGCUAAGUUCGUGCCAGCAGCCGCAGUAAAAC